rfam:Gossypium raimondii Chr05_contig_1355, whole genome shotgun sequence.
AUACUUACCUGGACGAGGUAUAUGGGUGAUCAACAAGGCUAAUGCCUAGGUAAGCGACUUACAUUGCACUUGGGAAGGGCGCUUGCCUAAGGUCUCCUCAAAGUAGGAGAGCCUACGUCAUAAUUUGUGGCAGUGGGGGCCUGCGUUCGCGAUUCCCCGUU